CGAGCGCUUUCCACUCAGGUUCCGUUUCCAGCCUGAGUUAAGUUUCGGCCCGCUUUAGGGAAAUCGUCUACGACGCGUAACUGCACGCGAAAGGGUGUUCUGCGACGGCUUCCCAGCCCUGGCCGGGAGCCCUAACCACACCGGACACCUUCUGGACUUCAGGGGGUCCACAGCCAGAUGGCCUUUAUUCCGCGACAGCGGGCUGCAUGGAGUGUAUUCAUCAGGCGCCAGAGCCACCGGCCCACUUCAAGGCAUGCGGCAGAAACUACUACGGUGGCAACUGAGUAAAGACAUUGGAGGGUGCUGGCCUCCCCCAGACUGUUACAGUGGUCAAUUCCUCCCAAACUCCGGAGGUGCUGCUCAGGCCAGGGCGAGUAAGGGAGCUGGGGAGACCCUUGGGACAGGGACGAGAUGGAGGGGCCUCUCAGCUGGGCUAGGCAACUCUUGCUGUUGUUGACCAACCCACAACUUUGGACUGUGUAAAGAGGACCUAAGGUGCUCCUCCUGUUGGGACCAGCUCAGGCGUCUCAUCUGUCUCCCAAACCUAAAAAGGGAGGAAAUGGCACUAGAGUGGACCCCGAUAUCAAAGCAGUUGCUGGCCUUGGAGAUCUUGCAACAGCAGUCUGUGCGAAUACACCAGCACUAGGUGGUAUGACCCUACAUCACCCCCCGAAGUGGACUACAUCUUGCUCCAACCUCACAACUCCCAGAAUUCCCCAAGUAAAAGGGAGAGAGGAGUUUAAAAGUUGGGAAAUAAAGAAGCACCUUCACACACA